CCUACGGGUGGCAGCAGUGGGGAAUAUUGCACAAUGGGGGAAACCCUGAUGCAGCAACGCCGCGUGGGUGAAGGAGCGUUUCGGCGCGUAAAGCCCUGUCAGCGGGGAAGAAGAUAGCCGGUACCCGACCAAAAAGCCCCGGCUAACUACGUCCCAGCAGCCGCGGUAAUACGUAGGGGGCGAGCGUUAUCCGGAAUUACUGGGUGUAAGGGGAGCGUAGACGGCGCGGUAAGCUUGGAGUGGAACCCAGCGGCCUAACCGCGGAACUGCUUUGGGAACUGUUUAGCUGGAGUAUGGGAGGGGUAAGCGGAAUUCCUGGUGUAGCGGUGAAAUGCGUAGAUAUCAGGAGGAACACCAGUGGCGAAGGCGGCUUACUGGACCAUAACUGACGUUGAGGCUCGAAAGCGUGGGGAGCGAACAGGAUUAGAUACCCGAGUAGUC
rnacentral:rRNA from 1 species